rnacentral:rRNA from 1 species
UGGUGAAGUAAAAAAGCGUAACAAGGUCUCCGUAGGUGAACCUGCGGAGGGAUCAUUACACAAAUAUGAAGGCGGGCUGGAACCUCUCGGGGUUACAGCCUUGCUGAAUUAUUCACCCUUGUCUUUUGCGUACUUCUUGUUUCCUUGGUGGGUUCGCCCACCACUAGGACAAACAUAAACCUUUUGUAAUUGCAAUCAGCGUCAGUAACAAAUUAAUAAUUACAACUUUCAACAACGGAUCUCUUGGUUCUGGCAUCGAUGAAGAACGCAGCGAAAUGCGAUAAGUAGUGUGAAUUGCAGAAUUCAGUGAAUCAUCGAAUCUUUGAACGCACAUUGCGCCCUUUGGUAUUCCAAAGGGCAUGCCUGUUCGAGCGUCAUUUGUACCCUCAAGCUUUGCUUGGUGUUGGGCGUCUUGUCUCUAGCUUUGCUGGAGACUCGCCUUAAAGUAAUUGGCAGCCGGCCUACUGGUUUCGGAGCGCAGCACAAGUCGCACUCUCUAUCAGCAAAGGUCUAGCAUCCAUUAAGCCUUUUUUCAACUUUGACCUCGUAUCAUGUACCAUGCGCCAU